AGCGAACGCUGGCGGCAGGCUUAACACAUGCAAGUCGAGCGGACCUUUCGGGGUCAGCGGCGGACGGGUGAGUAACCCGUGGGAACGUGCCUUCCGGUUCGGAAUAACCCUGGGAAACUAGGGCUAAUACCGGAUACGCCCUUAUGGGGAAAGGUUUACUGCCGGAAGAUCGGCCCGCGUCUGAUUAGCUAGUUGGUGGGGUAACGGCCUACCAAGGCGACGAUCAGUAGCUGGUCUGAGAGGAUGAUCAGCCACACUGGGACUGAGACACGGCCCAGACUCCUACGGGAGGCAGCAGUGGGGAAUAUUGGACAAUGGGCGCAAGCCUGAUCCAGCCAUGCCGCGUGAGUGAUGAAGGCCUUAGGGUUGUAAAGCUCUUUUAUCCGGGACGAUAAUGACGGUACCGGAGGAAUAAGCCCCGGCUAACUUCGUG
rnacentral:rRNA from 1 species